GAUGAACGCUGGCGGCGUGCCUAAUACAUGCAAGUCGAGCGAACGGACGAGAAGCUUGCUUCUCUGAUGUUAGCGGCGGACGGGUGAGUAACACGUGGAUAACCUACCUAUAAGACUGGGAUAAUUUCGGGAAACCGGAGCUAAUACCGGAUAAUAUUUUGAACCGCAUGGUUCAAAAGUGAAAGACGGUCUUGCUGUCACUUAUAGAUGGAUCCGCGCUGCAUUAGCUAGUUGGUAAGGUAACGGCUUACCAAGGCAACGAUGCAUAGCCGACCUGAGAGGAUGAGCGGAGGAACAGGACAGGAUACGAAGGGAAGGAAAAACAGAGAGGGAGAAGGAGGGAAGGUUAGGAAAUGGGUGAAAGACGAAAGACGAAACGACGAGAAAGAGAUGAAGGUCUAAGGAAAGGAAAAAGCUGUGAAUAGGGAAGAAAAAAGGUGUAAGUAAAUAUGCAAGGCUGGAAGGGAAAUAAUCAGAAAGACAAGACGCGCUAAGGG
rnacentral:rRNA from 1 species